CCUACGGGAGGCAGCAGUAGGGAAUAUUGCUCAAUGGGGGAACCCGGAAGCAGAAACGACGAGGGGAGGAGGAAGGGUUUCGGAUUGUAAACUCCUUUUGUUAGAGAAGAUAAUGACGGUAUCUAACGAAUAAGCACCGGCUAACUCCGGGCCAGCAGCCGCAGUACUACGGAGGGUGCAAGCGUUACUCGGAAUCACUGGGCGUAAAGAGCGCGUAGGCGGGAUUGCAAGUCAGAUGUGAAAUCCUAUGGCUUAACCAUAGAACUGCAUUUGAAACUGUUAUUCUAGAGUAUGUGAGAGGUAGGUGGAAUUCUUGGUGUAGGGGUGAAAUCCGUAGAGAUCACGAGGAAUACUCAUUGCGAAGGCGACCUGCUAGAACAUAACUGACGCUGAUGCGCGAAAGCGUGGGGAGCAAACAGGAUUAGAUACCCCAGUAGUC
rnacentral:rRNA from 1 species